ACUCUGGUUGAUCCUGCCAGUAGUCAUAUGCUUGUUUCAAAGAUUAAGCCAUGCAUGUCUAAGUUCACAUUAAAUCAAAACGAUGAAACCGCGGAUGGCUCAUUAUAUCAGUCGAAGUUCCUUGAAUCGCCGCGCCUUCUACGGCGCUUAUUUGGAUAACUGUGGCAAUUCUAGAGCUAAUACAUGUCAGUGGAAGCUUGGACCCUCGGGUCGCCGGGGGAAAGAGCGCUUUUAUUAGAUUCAAAAUCAAUCGGCAUCGGCGUCGCCGCGCGCUCUCCCUCCCGGGUUGUGCGUCGCGGAUCAACGGCGUCUGCCGGCUUGCAUUCUUGAUGACUCUGGAUAACGAAGCCAAUCGCAUCGGAGUCGGCCCACAAAGCCGGCGGCGAUAGUUUUUACAAGUGUCUGACCUAUCAAAUGUCAAUGGUACUCGCUAUGGCUACCAUGUUUUUGACGGGUAACGGGGAAUCAGGGGUUCAGAUUCCGGAGAGGGAGCAUGAGAAAUGGCUACCACUUCCAAGGAAGGCAGCAGGCGCGCAACUUACCCAAUGCCGGCACGGUGAGGUAGUGACGAACAAUAACUAUACGGGACUCUUUCGAGGCCCCGUAAUUGGAAUGAGACAACUUUAAAUCCUUGAACGAGGAUCUAUUGGAGGGCAAGUCUGGUGCCAGCAGCCGCGGUAAUUCCAGCUCCAAUAGCGUAUACCAAAUUUGUUGCAGUUAAAAAGCUCGUAGUUGGAUCUCAGGCGCGGGCGUCUGGUCCGACUCGCGUCGGUUACCGGACGAGCUCGCCGGCGCGCCGCCCGUCUGUCCCGGUGCACUCCCGUCGUAGGUUCUUCGUUCGUAUCGGCGUUCGUCCGGGAGCGGAGGUUCAGGUCACUCGGUCGGCGACUUUGGAAACGUUCUAUCGGCCCCUCUUUACGNNACGGUUCGCUUCCUCGACCGUCCGUUCCGAGCCCUCUAUCCGUUUUCCUUGGCGGCGUCGUGCGUUCGGCCCCUGCGGCGGGCCCGGGUCAUCGGGCGGGUGGGCGCGUCGUUUUGCGACGUCCCGUCCUCAACGGAUGGCUCGCACUCCUCGGUGCUCUUUACUGCAGUGCCUUGGACGGCUUCUUGGAUUUUGAAAAAAUUGGAGUGCUCAAAGCAGGUUCAUUCAAAUGGCCUGAACACUAUCGCAUGGAAUGAUAGAAUACGACCACUGUUCUAUUUUGUUGGUUUUCGGAACCUAGUGGUAAUGAUUAAUAGGGACAAACGGGGACAUUCGUAUUGCGGGGUUAGAGGUGAAAUUCUUGGAUCCUCGCAAGACGCCCUACAGCGAAAGCAUUUGUCAAGAAUGUUUUCAUUAGUCAAGAACGAAAGUCAGAGGCGCGAAGACGAUCAGAUACCGUCGUAGUUCUGACCAUAAACGAUGCCAGCUAGUCAUCCGCGGGCGUUGUUCAAUGACUCCGCGGGCAACCCCCGGAAAACCAAAGCUUUUGGGUUCCGGGGCUGAUAUGGUUGCAAAGCUGAAACUUAAAGGAAUUGACGGAAGGGCACCACCAGGAGUGGAGCCUGCGGCUUAAUUUGACUCAACACGGGAAAACUCACCCGGUCCGGACACUGUAAGGAUUGACAGAUUGAUAGCUCUUUCUUGAUUCGGUGGGUGGUGGUGCAUGGCCGUUCUUAGUUGGUGGAGCGAUUUGUCUGGUUAAUUCCGAUAACGAACGAGACUCUAGCCUAUUAAAUAGUUCGGUUCCGCCUUCGGCUCGGGUCCCGGGCGCGGGUCGCGUGUCUGUCGGAGUUGAUGUGUGGGGGGUUGGCCUCUCGGGGUUCUUCCUUUCGCGCGUCUCUUCGUUCGGGCUCGCGUCCCCGCGCUCGGCCUGACACACUGGCGAACCGCUAACUUCUUAGAGGGACAAGUGGCGUUUAGCCACACGAGACUGAGCAAUAACAGGUCUGUGAUGCCCUUAGAUGUCCGGGGCCGCACGCGCGCUACACUGAAGGAAUCAGCGGGGUUAGCUCCCUGGCUCGAAAGGGCUGGGAAACCCGAUGAAUCUCCUUCGUGCUAGGGAUCGGGGCUUGCAAUUCUUCCCCGUGAACGAGGAAUUCCCAGUAAGCGCGAGUCACUAGCUCGCGUUGAUUACGUCCCUGCCCUUUGUACACACCGCCCGUCGCUACUAUCGAUUGAGCGGUUCAGUGAGGGCCUCGGAUUGGCCUCGGUCUUCGUGGUGGCCGGUCACAAGCCGGUUCGCAGCGAGGACUGUCGGGCCGAGAAGACGCUCGACCUCGAUCGCUUGGAG
rnacentral:rRNA from 1 species